ACCUCAAUUGUGGGGCUUACUGCUGAUGUUAGACUGUUAUGUAAUCUUCUGCGUCAGGAGUGUUUGGAUUCCAGAUUUGUAUUCGAUAGACCACUGCCUGUGUCUCGUCUUGUAUCUCUAAUUGGAAGCAAGACGCAGAUACAAACACAACGAUAUGGCCGGAGACCAUAUGGUGUUGGGCUGCUUAUUGCCGGUUAUGAUGAUAUGGGCCCUCACAUUUUCCAAACCUGUCCAUCUGCUAACUAUUUUGACUGCAGAGCCAUGUCCAUUGGAGCCCGUUCCCAAUCAGCUCCUACUUACUUGGAGAGAUAUAUGUCUGAAUUUAUGGAGUGCAAUUUAAAUGAACUAGUUAAACAUGGUCUGUGUGCCUUAAGAGCGACACUUCCUGCAGAAUAGGACCUAAACUACAAAGAAUGUUUCCAUUGGAAUUAUUGGUAAAGACUUGGAGUUUACAAUCUAUGAUGAUGAUGAUGUGUCUCCAUUCCUCGAAGGUCUUGAAGAAAGGCCACAGAGAAAGGCACAGCCUGCUCAACCUGCUGAUGAACCUGCAGAAAAGACUGAUGAACCAAUGGAACAUUAAGUGAUAAGCCAGUCUAUAUAUGUAUUAUCAAAUAUGUAAGAAUACAGGCACCACAUACUGAUGACAAUAAUCUAUACUUUGAACCAAAAGUUCAGAGUGCUGGAAUGCUAUGUUUUAGGAAUGAGUCCAGAUGUGAGUUUUUUCCAAGCAACCUCACUGAAACCUAUAUAAUGGAAUACAUUUUUCUUUGAGAGGGUCUGUAUAAUCAUUUUCUAGAAAGUAUGGGUAUCUAUACUAAUGUUUUUAUAUGAAGAAAAUAGGUGUCUUUGUGGUUUUAAAGACAACUGUGAAAUAAAAUUGUUUCACUGCCUGGU